rnacentral:lncRNA from 1 species
UAAAGAGAAAAUUGGCUGCCAAGUGGUCAAAUCUCAGGUUCCUGUAAUUAGGCAACCCACACAUGACCGUCAGCCUGCCUGGUGAGGUCUCUAGAUAACUAUGAUGAUGCAGUGGGGGAUAUAAAAGCAAGAUGAAAGAAAGCUGGUGCUAGAACUAUGUAAAAAAUGGCAUGAAAAAUCAGAAAUACAACAAACACUUCCUCAAGUAAAACCUGACUCACCUAUUUCCUGAGGCAGGCAUGGGCAGAAAGGAGGAAAAAGUGGCUUUGGUGAGCUUAGGUAUCAUGCCGGAUUUCCUGCACAUUUUCGUGAAGACCAUCUAGAAGCCCAUGCCUGCUUAUAACUGGCGAGAUGGGAUUAUGGCUUGUCAAGCAGCAGAACACACCCAGUGUCUCCUCUCCUACAGAGCGUCUGCUGCUAUGGACAUGUGCUGCCCUGGGAAAAGUCCACUGAAGGUGGAUGAUGCAGAUGAAAAGGCUACUUCACUUUUGGAAGCUGCCUAAUUCACUUCCAGGAGCAAACUUUUUGAUCGGUAGGAUAUGACUCAGUAAUGCUGAUUGAAUUGGCUUCUCACUGUAUUUGUCAAGGCUGGAACAGACGAUGGCACUGCAGAAUCUUAUGUGCACAGAAGAAAUCUACAGACAUUCAAUGAGGGGAGGAUUUCGUUCCAUCAGAUGGGCUUCCUGACAUAAUUGCAAAGACACAUGAAGACUCAACGAUUUAUCUCCCAUCAACCUCUUCUUAGUUAAUAUCAGCCCAUGUGCUCCAAGAAAACCAGAGGAAAUAUCAAGAAAGAAGAAAACAUGAGACCCUGAAAAUAAAAACCUCAACCCAGAAGUGUAGGAACGUGGGAAAUGAGUGCGUAGUGUGCCUGCAGGGCUUGGACCUCGUGCCCUUGGAGCUAGGAACACGGUGCUUUUGGGAUUCUCUUUCUAUCCCCUAGAUGGCAGCAACAUUCUUUAGAGCCUAACUGGAACUUUCUUCUGAUUUGUUCCAAACACUCCCCACACUCGGAGAGCAUUCCAGUGAAGUGGGUGGAGAAGGAAACAGAUGUGAGACCAGAUGCAGAUCUGAACAAAUUUGUUAGGUCCUGAAUUUCUACUGAUCACAGUAGCUGAUGAGAAAUGUCUGUGGCAUAGUAGCAAGUCUCUCUGAACAAUUUAGAAUGGACGUUCAUAAAUUAAGGGCAUAGAUGUCAAAACUGUCAUUCUCUGCCUAUGAGAUGGAGAAAGCUGAUUUUAUCAGGAGGUAAACUGGAGACCAUGAAAUAAUUCCAGUAUGUUUGCUUAAUUGUUGGGUAUUCCUGUGACAAAGAAGGCACUACUCAGCCAGCCAGAAUGCACUGACCACCACUGCAGGGUUUCAGUCACAUGAGACAUCUGGGUGAUAGAGGGAAGUGUGGGGAAUGGCUAUCAUUGAUGAGCCUGUAUGUUCUAAGUGAUCUGGGGACUAAGGCUUAUUUUUCUCCAGGCUUGUCUUAUGAAGAAGUUUUAGUCUAUUUGGAAUAGAUAAGGCUUAUACACAUAAAGUAACUGAUACUCAAUUAUAUGUAAUUAUGUUAGUUGGGGAUAAGGCUAAGCUGUGUUAUGUAGUGACUCAAAAAUGCGAUGACUCAAACAAGAUUGGAGCUUGUUUCUCUCCGGGAAUGAAUGAUCCCACACUCGGGGGCAGCUAGGCUGCUGGGAUCCAGGUUCCUUCACCUGUUGCUCUGUUAUGGUUGAAGCUGGCUUAUCCCAACCUCAUUCACAUUUCAGCCCACACAGCUAGGCAGAAGAGGGGUGAAAGUGGAGCAUGAGCAAUGCCUUUUCUUUUAUUUUUUUUAAAGUCAGUAUUAUUGCAUUAUAAUUUACAGAAAAUAAAAUACACCUAUUUUAAGUGUAUACUUUAAUGGGCUUUGGCAGAUUGCUUACACGCAUUGAACCACCACCCUAAUCAAGAUAAUGGCAUUUCCAUCAUCCCUAAACAUUUCCUCAUGCCCUUUGCAGUAAAUGCCAUCUACUCUUGGUCUAAGGUGGCUACUGAUUUGAUAUCUAUCACUACAGAUUAUUUUUGCCUGUUCUAGAAUAUCACAUAAAUGGAAUUAUAUGGCAGGUGCUUUCAGGCUGGGUGAUAUAAGUCAGGUGUCUAAGUUGUAAAUUUAAACAGACACUCACACUAAGUUUUAUGCCAGUGCUGACUCUACAAUGCACCCUGCGCCAUGCUGCAUUGUAUCUUGUUUCUUUUGCCCUGUGUAUUGUUUUUGAGAUUCAUUUAUUUUGUUAUGUGUAUCAGUGGUUCAUCAUUUUUUGUUGCUGUGUAGUAGUCUAUGUCACAAAUUCACUACAAUUUGUUUAUACGUUUGUCUACUGAUGGACGUUGUUUCCGGUUUUGGGCUUUUAUGAACAUAGCUGUCACAAACAGAUGUGUACAAGUAUUUUAGUGAACAUAUGUUUUCAUUUCUCUUGGGUAAAUACUCAGGAAUGGAAUUGCUGGAUCAUAUGGUAAGCGUGUCUUGGUAACUUCAGGAGACUGCUGAACAAUUUUUGAAAGUGAAUUUAAUACUCGAUAGUCUCAUUAGCAAUGUAUGAAAAUUCUAGUUGCUUUACAGCCUCACCAACACUAGUUAUCAUCAACGUGUUUAACUAGCUAUUCUAGUAACUAUGUUGUGAUAUCCAUUGUAGUUUUUUCCUUUUUUGUCCCCGUACCCUAAGCUCCUAUCCAUUGUAGUUUUAAUUUGCAUUGCCCUGAUGACUAGUAAUGUUAAGCAUCAUUAUAUGUGAUUAUAAGCUAUUGUAGUGUUUCGUAAAAUAUUUGUUAAAAUUUUUUGACUAUUAGAAAAAGUAGGUUGUCUUAUAUUAUUAUUGAGAUGAAAUCUUUUAAUAUUCUGAUUCAUGCUUUAUAUGACCUAAGAAAUCUUUGCAAAACUCAAAGUGUCAAAAGAUAUUCUUUUAUGUUUUCUUCUAAAAACAUAAUAAUUUUAGCUUUAAUUUAGAUCAGUUUUCCAUUUUGAGUUAAUUUUUAUAUAUGUUGAGAGAUAAGGGUUAAAGAGCAUUUUUUCCCCCUUGUAGAUAUCCAGUUGUUCUAGAACAAUUUGUUGAAAAGACUAUUUUUCCUCCAGUGAAUUACUGGCUCCUUCUUAAAAUAAAUUUUCCAUGUAUGCAUGGGUCUGUGUCUGUUCCAAUGGUCUAUAUGCCCACCUUUAUACCAAUACCAUACUAUCUUGAAUACUGUAGCAUUAUAAUCAUUCUUGAAACAAGUAGUAUAUGUCUCAAAUUUCAUUCUUUAUCAAAAUUAUUUUGGCUUCUCUGUAUUCCCAUAUGAUUUUUAGGAUCAGCUUGUCAGUUUUCAGAAAAAAAUGCUAGAAUUUAUAUUUCGAUUUGGUUAAAUGUACAGAUCAAUUGGCAGACAACUGACAUCUUAACAAUAGUAUGUCUUUUAUUCCAUGAAAAUGGUGCUUAUUACAAUCUUUAAUUUUUCUGAGCAAUGUUCUGUAGUUUUCAAUGUAUACGUCUUUGUUAAGUUUUGCUUUGUGUACUUCAUGUUUUUGCUGUUAUUUUAAAUGCAUUGUUGUAUAUGUUUGCAAUAGUUUUUUGCUCACAUAUAGAAAGGUAAUAAUUGUGUAUAUACUUUGCAUCCUGUGACCUUGCUUAAUUUAUUAAUUCUAAUAGCUAUUAAAAUAUCAUUUUAAGAGUUUUCUGUGUACAUAAUUAUGUCAUUUGUGAAUAAAGAUAGUUUACUUCUUCCUUUUGAAUCUAUAUGCCUUCUACUUAUUUUUCUUGCUUUAUUACAGUGGUUAGAACCUCCAGCGCAAU